rnacentral:rRNA from 1 species
UACGAAGGUCCCAAGCGUUGUUCGGAAUCACUGGGCGUAAAGGGCGCGUAGGCUGUGAGGCGAGUCUGGUGUGAAAUCCCGGGGCUCAACCCCGGAACUGCACUCGAUACUGCUUUACUAGAGGACUGGAGAGGAGAUUGGAAUUCUCGGUGUAGCAGUGAAAUGCGUAGAUAUCGAGAGGAACACCUGUGGCGAAAGCGAAUCUCUGGACAGUUCCUGACGCUGAGGCUCGAAGGCUAGGGUAGCGAAAGGG